AUGGCAAAGGUACACGUUCCUGGGCUGGAUUGGUGGGUGGGAUCUAAACCUCUAAAAGAGGCCUACCCAAGCCUCUAUUUCAGCAAUUUAAACCAAAACAUUUCGGUGGCUGAGGCCAUCAGUUUAGGGUGGGAUGGGUUAAAAUUUAGAAGAAAUUUAUCUAUGGACAAACAUGUUAUGUGGGACAGCUUGAAAGCGACAUGUGAGAGGGUGAGAAUGUAUGAAGGCAAGGAUCAGCCACAGUGGAUGAUGACAGCCAACAAACAAUUCUUUGUUAGAUCGCUGUACCAUUCCUUGAUCAAAACUGAGGUCGGAUUCCCCCAAAAAAUUCUUUGGAAAAUCAAAAUUCCAGCAAAAAUUAAAAUGUUUUUCUGGCUUAUUGCUAGGAAAAGUGUGUUGACUAAAGUUAAUCUAAUCAAGAAGGGGUGGAGAGGAAGACAGGGUUGUGUUUACUGUGGGCAAGAUGAAACCAUAGAUCACUUGUUCCUCACUUGCUCUGCUGCUAGACUUUUGUGGAGCUUAAUAAAGUGUUCAUUUAAUUUGAGAACAACUCCGAAUGGUAUAGAUGAUUGUGUGGGACCAUGGGUCAGAAGCUUUGCUAAGAUUGAGAAAAACCCAGUACUAGUUGGAAUAUCGGCCAUAAUUUGCAAAACGGCCUACGGCUGUCGAAAUCGGAACUGGGUUUUUGUGCUGAACAUUUCGAUAUAUUAUACGUUUUUUUCGACAUCGUAUGCAAAAGUUAUUGCCAUUUUACUUUUCCAUAACAUCUUUUGCAAAAAAUGUCGAAAUUUAUGUUUUUUAAUUUUCCUAACUAGUAGAUGUAGUAACAUAACUACAUCUCGAAGGAUUUUAAUUUUUGAAGUUUUUAUCAUUUUCUUUUUUUUCAAAACUGAAAUGGCCAUAAGGGGGUGGGGUAGAGUUUGA
rnacentral:rRNA from 1 species